CUGUUCCCAUGCCGAACACAGAAGUUAAGCUCCUUAGCGCCGAUGGUAGUUGGAUUUACGUUCCGCUAGAGUAGGACGUUGCCAGGC
rnacentral:rRNA from 1 species